AACGGAUGGUGAUGGUAUUUUAGACCGCGUGUAGAGAUAGCGAUAACUUUCCUGUCGAUGACCAAAUCUAUCUCGCUCAACUCAUAUCGUUUCUUGCUACUAGGUUGCAACGAAGUCCGCAGGCUUAUACGGUUACGACUCAGCUAUAACCUAUACUGCCAAUGAUAUAGCUAGAUCCCUCGCAAACACGUAUAGAAACUGGAUUUACUGCACUGCUAAUAUUCUGAAAUCGUCAUCUUGUUAGUUCCAGCUAUCAGUGCAAAUUUCAAUCUAGGUCCAUAAAAUACUUCACUAAAGCGGGCCGUACUUACUAGAUGAAGCCUAUUUUUCUAGUGGAUUUUUGGGGAACUGACACGCUAACAACUAUUCACGACCAGUUUAUAUCAUCACGCGAACAUCACCCGCUACUAACUAUGUUAUAUGGAGCGGGACAUAGAUCGUCGUAACAAGCCAGCCAAUGAUGCCGUUCGAAACCAGACGCCUAACGGCAGACUAUAUACAUUCUGUCGCUUAUUAAGUAAAUUCUAUAAUUCGAACUUCAAGGUUGUUUGCAGGUGACAGAACAGACCGUCCAGUCUGAGUAUUUCCACUCGAAUUCCGGUAGCCUAGUGGCAUUCGACUGGGGCAGGGUAUACUCGAUGCUUAUGCCGGGAUUCUCAGACUGGAACAACAGCUGAAAAAGCCGCCGACAUCGACAACAUACAAAUGAAUGGAUAUCUGUUCAUAGUACGAACCUAAAGCGUUGCUCGUCCUAGUAGUUUGCAGUUGACACCUCGCAAUAUUAUACCCCUCGCGGCAAUCGACGAGACGGAAGGCAUUCACCUACCGGAAUCGACUCUUGCCGCCUCGUUCUUUGAUGCGUGGCUUAUUUUCAGAAAAGUUCGUCGAACAAAGGUAAAAUUCUCCAUCGCUACCUUGUAUCGCGAUAUAAUUCGUUGAUUCGCUGACCUCCUCGAUUCGAAUAUUGCGUGCUCC